rnacentral:miRNA from 1 species
UGUUGUUCCCAUCUCUGCAG